ACCUGUCCCAGAGGUACUGGAGGUGUGGCUGCUGUGUCACAUGUGUAUCAGUAGGAUGAAGAGGGGAGAGAGACUAUGUCUAUGUUCAGUGUUUCUGCCCAUGAACAUUUGAAUAAUUAAUAGCCGAAAAUU
ensembl:snoRNA Gm22473 small nucleolar RNA SNORA17